AGCCUUCUAAACCCGUGGAGACUUUAUCGAAUACCAACCCACCAGGGCUAAUGAAGCUUCAAAGAUAAGUGAAGUG
rnacentral:pre_miRNA from 1 species